CCCUUCCNGAGUAUCAAUUGGAGGGCAAGUCUGGUGCCAGCAGCCGCGGUAAUUCCAGCUCCAAUAGCGUAUAUUAAACUUGUUGCAGUUAAAAAGCUCGUAGUUGAAUUUCUGCUGUUUCGUUGACUGCGUUUGGCGUUUGUCAUCGUUGCGGCUUGGUUGGGUUUCGAUUAUUCGUUUCCCGGCGUUUACUUUGAGAAAAUUAGAGUGCUUGAAGCAGGCUUUUGCCUUGAAUACUUUAGCAUGGAAUAACGGAGUAGGACUUUGGUUCUAUUUUGUUGGUUUUAGGAGCCAGAGUAAUGGUUAAUAGGAACAGUUGGGGGCAUUCGUAUUUGACUGUCAGA
rnacentral:rRNA from 1 species